rnacentral:lncRNA from 1 species
UGCCGAUUACUUCUUACCCCCCUUUUAAGGUCAGAAAUGGCUAUUCAUUAAGCACUGGUAACGACUGGUGGUUCUGGAGUUGGAAGCUCAAACUCAAAUGCAGGCAGUGGAAGAGCCAAUGCAGUCCACGGGUUGAAUGCUGCUUGUGCGAUUUCUCUAAAUGACGAUGGCACCAGUGGGAGGAAGAGAAGGGGUUCAUUGGCUAUUGAAGCAAGCUUCAAUCAGGAAACUCACAGCAAGCUUUGCUGCUCUGAUUGCUAGGAUGUUCUAUACUGCAGGUGGGUAAUUUACAAUGCAAAGUAUUUAGUUACCAUUUUUGCUAGGAUGCUUUUAAUAGCUUUCUAUUUCAUUUGUAGGCAUGCCUUUUUAAUCUUGGGGCGUUUGGACACUGGAGUUGGAGAACCAAUAGACUUCUAGUAUAAAAAUCAGUAAAUCACUAAUCUCUCUAUAUAUACGGUGGCGCUAAACCAAGCGAGCGCGCAAAGCUCUUAUUCUACGUGUCGGUCGCUAAUCACCGUGCCACCAAACCAGUGCAGUCUCACUCGGCUAAUUGUGUGAGAGUAAAAGGAAGUAGAAAAUAUAGUAAUUUAUUCAAUUUCGGUUACC